GACGAACGCUGGCGGCAUGCCUAACACAUGCAAGUCGAACGGAUCUCUUGGAGUAGCUUGCUAUAAAAAGAGGUUAGUGGCGGACGGGUGAGUAACGCGUGGGUAACCUACCCAUAAGACUGGGAUAACUUCGGGAAACCGAAGUUAAUACCGGGUAAGCUUUGUAUACCGCAUGGUAUAGAGAGAAAAGAUGGCCUCUGAUUUAAGCUAUCGCUUAUGGAUGGACCCGCGUCUGAUUAGCUAGUUGGUGAGGUAACGGCUCACCAAGGCGACGAUCAGUAGCCGGCCUGAGAGGGUGAACGGCCACACUGGGACUGAGACACGGCCCAGACUCCUACGGGAGGCAGCAGUGGGGAAUCUUCCGCAAUGGGCGAAAGCCUGACGGAGCAAUGCCGCGUGAAUGACGAAGG
rnacentral:rRNA from 1 species